ensembl:lncRNA
GUCACAAAAGCACAUCAUCACCCACACAGCCACUGCCUCCAGCCCCGGGGCACCACCCACCUCACAGGUAACAACAUGCAGCUCACCUUGCUCCACAGGGGCACCCCACUCACACCGCCAGGAUCCUGCCUCCAGCCUGAACCUGCACAGAGACCUCCAAGGGGGCGCUCCUGGGGGCAGCCCUCCACCACGAGGGCUCCCGCCUGGGGCUCCCCCUCUCUCACCUCCUUCAUCCCACCACAGGCACAACCACAUACCUGUUCCAGCCAAUCCUCUCUGCAAAGCUCUCCGCUGCAGCCCUCGCCCUGCAACAAGAGCACAGAUCACACAGCCAGACAGAAUGCCAAGGCCCCACUGCAAAGCACCUGCACGCAACUGGAACGGGGCCCAGGGAACCGGACUCCGCAACCUCCCCGGGCACCCUCUCCCAUCCCGCUCACAGGGAAAUCAUUCUUCUUCCUCUUUAAAGAGGAAUUCUGGUGAUACCAAACAUGCACACUGCCACACGCUGCUCAUCCCCAUCAACUGGGCUCCUGCGCAGCAGGCAUUGCUAUCUGCCACCCUCCUCUCCUCUAACCGCACAAUCAAGACAACACACUACCUUUUGGUCCAGCAUGACUUCUCCUCUGUCCAUCCACCUGGACUGCUCCUUGCAAAUUCCUUCUCCUCCAGUCACAUGGCAAUGACACCUGCAACAAGCUGUUGCGUCACCUCCCCAGAAACAGACAUGAGGCCAACCUACCUCCAAGUUGCACACGCCAUCCUCCACACCCUUUCUGAAGGCUGCGGUGGCAUCCGCCAUCCUCCAGUCUUCAGGUACCUUUCCCACAGGAAACAGCAGGGAAAAGUGACAGAGAGCGCCAUUUGCCGGUCACCGCUGCCAGCUCUCAGCGGGCACAGGCAUAGCCCUCUACAGCUCAGGCAUUUGCUGGCCUCCUUUCUGCCUGAACCACUUUUGACCAGCUCCUCCGCAACUGAGGGGAAGGCAACCUUCCUCAGGGACUCUCUCCUCCAGGAUCCCAGGUUCCCCAGGAGCACUCUCAGCAGAAACCACUGAAACCAAAACAGGCAUCCAACACAUCCUCCAAUACUCAGGCCCUUGCCUUGUAAAGCACAGGCCUGCAAUUUCUCCAGUCUCUCCUGUUGACAAACUUCCAUUAGCCUUGACCUCCCUCCCAAAGCUGAUACUCAGAGGGACUUGGCCUUCCUCAGCCUCUCUCUUCCUUCUCCCCUUCAAGUUCCUCAGUCAGCCCUGCAGGUCCCCCACCAUUCCUGCGCACUUCCUCCUUGGGACGCAGCGCACCUCAGCAUGGACGAAGUAAUGCUCCAGCAUUCACAGGACCCCUUCCUAUGCUUGAGCAAGGGUUACCUCCAAGUAGGCCCUUCAAGAGGACAAACCUGGCUCCCUCCAAGUCCAGUGUUUCAAUCCUACUCAUUGCUUUGCAGCUUCCACACAAGAUCCCAAACGCUGUGGUCUCACGACUGGCACGCUCCAGGCUGCCCCUGGCCUUCCUGUCCCCAAACGGCUCUUCUGCAAUAGGGAGCUCCAGCAGCCCCUCUCCUCAAUGCCUCCUUCGUCACCUGUGUCAGAAGAUCUUACCUUUGACACAUUGCAGGAAACUCCUGGAGCCUACCAUGAGAACUGGCCUCACUGCUGUGGGCACCAUUUCCAGCUGUGUGCAGAAGGUCUAUCAGCUUCCUCACCCUGGUCUGUGACCAACACCACCACUCAGGUCACCCACUUUUACCUGCCUCUUCAGCCUCACGCACAAACGCUCCGCUGGUUCUUCAUUCGUCCCUAGGUGGAGCUCGAUACGUUCCCGUUCUCUCCCUCGAAGAGAGACUCCACCGCCUGGCCGGAGUGUCUUUCCUAAAAGAAAUAGAGCCAUCCACGACAGCACUCCAGUCUGCCCUGCCAGGUCUCCACGGUGGGAACCUAAAUCGUGCUCCUGCAGUUACACGGGAAGGAAGAGGCGGGGAAAAAAAGUAAAACCACGGUCCCAACCUGCUCGCUCCCACCGCUGGAAACGGGAUGGGUGAGAGCACCCGCAAAACACUCCGCAGUGGCCGAGGCCACCCCGGGAUCGUGCUCGGUCUCGGGCGGAGGCCCCGUGCCGGUCCUACUAAAAAAGCCACACGGGAGCCCAGCGGCGGCGCCGUGCCGAUCCCAAAGACAGAGGCAGUCAAGCAGCAACCCUACAGGAGCCCCAGCACGAGAGAUCUUACCGAGCGACUCUCAAACACUCACCGCUUCCACGAGCUCACUGUUUCGGGCCGAUGAGAGGCUCUGCUACAGCCCUCGCUCAGCCUGCAACACGAGAAACCUUUUGUUUCAGCAGCCCUUCGCUUCGCUUCCCUCUCCCGGCAGCACAGAGGCUGCACGAAUACGGCCCCAUCGCGUUCGCUCCUACCGAGGAGAGCCUGAAGAACUGAAGCACCCGCUGAAAGAAAUCCCGAGGAUGGGGGGGGGCUGAGAGCACCCCGGGGCUGUGCGAGGACUCGGGGGUCUGAGCGGCAGCCGCCUCCGAAAACGCGACGGCAGCCGGGCGGCGGCGCCGUAUCGGCUCCGCACAGCCGGGGGAGCCCAGCGGCGACCUAACGCCGGCCCCGCCAGCCGCCUGCUCCGGAGAUCCUGGCGGCUCCCGAGCGCUCACCGUCCCCUUACUACCCGAACCGCUCACCUGUUUGGGCUGGUCCUUACCGCAAAAGGGCUCACAGCAGCCUGAAACAAAACGACACUACGAAAACAUUAAAGAGAACCUCAAGGCUCCGUCCCCCCCAAAAAACCCCGCGUACCGCUUCGCAGCCUCAGCAGCGUCAGGGCCCGACAAAGAAACAGAACCCCCGCCGUCGCCUAUCCACAACCGCAGAAACUCCUCCGUGGCUCCCGGCAGCCUCCGGCGGAGCUUAAGAGGCUUUGGGGCGGGCCCCGCCCGCGGCUCCCGACGAGGCGCAGCUGCGCCCGGCCGGCCGCGGCCCCGCGGCACCUGGGAGUCGUUGCCUCGUUAGCGCAGCCGGCCUCGUUAGGGACGGCCCGGGGCUCUGACAGUUUGACGUGCGGACUCCGGAUCUGAAUUAGGGACUUAAAUUACACUUUAAAGUACAGUUUGUUACGCGCUUCUCCUUCUCGCCGCACUGUGGGAUUCAUCGAUAAGUUAAGUAAUUGUGCCAAUUCAAACGGGUCGCUUUGCAUCCGACGCGACCGGCGCGAUAGAGCGUCUCCCCUCCGAAGAACGUCCCCGGCCUUAACGGUUUCCAGAGGCCCCCGCUGGGUGCGUCUCCGCUCCGCUUUCCAUCGCCCCAAUUCCGAACAAAAGAAAAAAAAAAAAAGAAAAAAAAAGUUUGUUAAACCUGUAAAAUCUUUGUAUCUCAGAGAAAUCGUGACUACAGAAGGCAGUGGAAACAUGGGAGUAGUGAUGUGAUAAAUGCCCACAUGAGUUAAUGACGCAGGCAAGAAUAUCACCAACCAGAGAAUCUUGAAGCUUUGCAAACACUUCUCUACGGUGUUGCUCAGGAUUCCAUUCACGUGUCUUAUAAAUGUGGAAGACUUCCGGUACAAUUUUAGUUACGACCAGUUAUGGAGGCAGGUGCUCUGUGAACACUUCAGUGCUGAAAUUCACUUUACAUUCUUAAUUUAAAAUCCAGAAGUUUGGACUACACUCAUUUUUAUUUCUUCUGAUGGUGGAACAGUGAAUGUUUUUAUGGCACGUUGUCACAGAUACGUUUUCACAGCCAUCAGCAGCAUCAGAUGUGAAAAGAAGGCAGAUCUGAAUGUGCAGAGUGAGGUGAGAGAUCCUGGUGAGCGUACGCGAUACACCGUAACGAACUCAGGGAGAAGCUGUGGGUUGUGUCCCGUGUACGUCUCCACUGAAUUAACUCCACUUAUUUUGAUUUAUUUAUUUAUUUAUUAAGAAAAAUAAGUCUUGUUGGAACAAACGUGCAGACCUUCACUGCUCAGGAGGACUACAAACCAAAGUAAAACUAGGGGCCAGCAAAAACAUGGUGCUCCACAGUCUUAAUUUAAUAAAACACAGUGGAACCCCCUGAAAUAGCGUGAAAUUCAGAAGCCUGUGGUGGGGCUGAAGCGUGGUGUGCUGGCUGGCAGAUGUUUGGAAAGGUGCUAAGAUGUAACUCUUAUUGUCCAUAGAAUUUGCUGUUAAUCACUUGCAAGAUACAAAGUGACGGCCAGCUGGAUGAACAGGAGAAUGUAUGUGAACACCCAGAACUGACAGACCCAGGACGGUGCAUGUGGCUUGAAGUGGGCACUGAGAGAAAGCUCAGACAACAUUUAUACAUGCUAUUAACAUUCAAAUUAAUUUCCAUCAGGACACGACUUAAUUAAGGUGAGCUGUACAAAGUUCAUCUCAUUUCCCUUUACGCUCCAUUCCAUACACAAUGUAUGUUACCAGAGAGAUACUGCGCUAUGCUUCACUACUUUAAUCACUGUCCUGUCCCAUUGUAGUUCAGGAACGCAUGCAAGUGUACUGUUCUUAUUGGAGGCACGGUCUGGAAAAGAUGGCCGGGGAGCUGAACAGCAUUUCUAUUUCAGCUGCUGAAGCGCCCACUAACUUUGGAUGUCGCCUAAACCUUCAGAUGGAAUCCUUGCAGGCAUUCCCGUGGGGAUCGGUAAAUUGCAGUAUGCCGGAACUACCGUUGCUGAUGUGGGGCGAGCGCUCUGAAGUGCACUUGGAGAAGGACGCAUUCAAAUACGGCAUAUAUGAAAAGUUUAAUAUUUUAGACAGCUAGAUGAAAUGCUGGGGUCUUGGUGCAUUUUGCUUUGGCGGUCCAGGCUUUUCAGCAUCUUAGGGAAAUGUUUGGAAAUGAAUUUUAUUUUCACAACUGUGGUACAAUUACAAGGCGGGGAUGUUUCACCCUUCUCACCGAGGUGCCCUUGGUGGUGGUGGUCUGUAAAUGGCUACAGAACUGACAGAGAACUCUGCAAGCAUUUUCUUUCCCCCAUUUGCCCAGUCUGCCCGCCUCUGUGAUCCCCCGCAGCACUGGCUGGAAGUCCGCCGCACAUCAGUGAGGAGCUGCUUCAGAAGAAAGAAGAAGCGGUGUGGGGACCUGGGCUGCAAAAUCAAGAUGGGGUAUCUGUUGACUGUUUUUCUUGUAUUUCUUUGCCUUUUGGAGCCACAGUUUUGAACGGUUGUGUAAGACUUUAUCACUCUUUUUGUCAGCGUUGUCAGUUGUGAAUAAAGCUUUUUUUCCAUGUUGUUUUUCUUGUUAUAUUUGCUGUUCAUUUCCUUUGUGUAUUUAUU